GGUGAACGCUGGCGGCGUGCUUAAGACAUGCAAGUCGAACGGGCUCUUCGGAGCCAGUGGCGCACGGGUGAGUAACGCGUAACUGACCUACCCCAAAGUCGCGGAUAACGAUUCGAAGGAAUCGCUAAUACGUGAUGUGCUGUCAGAUCCUGUUCUGCCAGUAAAGAUUUAUUGCUUUGGGAUGGGGUUGCGUUCCAUCAGCUAGUUGGUGGGGUAAAGGCCCACUAAGGCGACGACGGAUCGCCGGCCUGAGAGGGUGGCCGGCCACAGGGGCACGGAGAGACGGCGGAGACGCGGACGGGAAGCAGAAGUGGGGAGUAGUGGAGAAUGGGGGAAGGCGGGAGGGAGAAAAGACGCGGGAGUGAGGAAGGACGUAGGGUAGGAAAGAGCGCUGACGCGGGAGGAGAAUGACGGUACAGGGAGAAGAAGCGACGGCUAACUCCGGG
rnacentral:rRNA from 1 species